rnacentral:lncRNA from 1 species
GAAAUUGACAAUUUCAAAAUAAAAAUAAUGGAUUUUUCUUAAGAAAUGUGUGGAAAGAUGGAGAUAGAAAAAAAAACAUUCACCUCCUUAUUAGCAAGCCAGUCGUCACCAAACUUUCUUUCUUUUUUUAUUAUUCCAUUUAGGUCCUUUCUGCAUUUUUAGCCAUUCCAAGCUCAUUUUCUUCCAUUUCUUUGAUGUUCUUUUACUACAAAUCUUAGAUAAAGUUAGUAGAUAUCUUAGUUUUGUGAUAAGAGAUUCCAUGGAGGAGUUAUAGGAAAGAGAAAGUAAGAAUUAGUUGGUGAUUUUAAGAGAUUAAGGUAAGAAAUGAGAGAAACUCUCAUAACGUACAAGUUUAUUUCGUUAUAUGAUAUAGAAAGUUGUUUGAUUAGAUUUUAACAUAUGAAUACUAUGUGUUUGAUAUUUUGUUGAAGAAAAAUAGAAGAAGUUUGAGGACAAAAGUGAAAGUAAAAGGAAAAGAGAAGGUCGAAGAGUAAGAAGGAAGGAACAAAUCAUCUCAAAUUUUGGUUGUAAGUACUUCAAGUAGUCAAAUUUGUUUAAGUUAUAUUAAUUAGAUAAUUUUAUUAAUUAAGUAGUUUAAUUACUAUAUUAAUGAUGUUAUGAGAACUAUUUAGUAGAGGUAAGUAAUGUAAAUGUUAUAAAUUGUAAUCUUGAUAUACUAUUAUAGGAUGAAUUGUGGUGAUAGUGGAAAAGGACUAAAUCAAAAUAAAUUAAAAUAUGUUAUGAUAUUCUAAAAUGUGGAAAGUGGGUUUAGAUGAAGUAGUGUAAAAAUUAUGGCGUUGUCUGUGAUAAAAUUGAAUAUAAUUUACAAGUUUUAGGGUGGGUUUGGAUGGGCAGUGCGUUUACUUGUGGUUAGUGUAAAAACAGCGGUGGCGAUGAGAUUAGAUACUAUAGCGAUACUGUAGCAUGAGAUAAAAAGUAAGAUAAACGCAUCACACCGCACCCAAUCUCACAUCCCAACCCACCCUUAAUGUCAUUAUUGUGAUAAGGACUAAAUCGUAAAAAGAAUAAAGUUAUAUUAUUUAAUGUCAAGUAAAUAAAUUUAAAGGUUUGAUAAUAAGAAAAACCCAUGUAGAUGAGUCUCAAAAUAUUAUAGGAUAUAGAUGGCAUGCCAUUAAGAAAAAUUAGCGUGCUUAUUGUAUUAUUUCGCACUUUGGUGCUAAUCGUUGUAAAAUUUUGCACUUUAGUGCUUAUCGUUAUUUGCACUAUGUGCUUAAUGAUAUAUGUUAUUCAUUAACAAUGCAUUAACAAUACAUUUUUGUAUAUCCUAAGUGUUCAACUAAUUUAUAUUGGGCUACAGUUUCGCAAUUCUGUUAUUAUCAAUUAAUGGGUUACGGUAAGUAAUGGUAAGUACGAUUUUGGAAAACGUUGAACUUCAAGUACUAAAUUUUUAUGAAGUAUAUGUGUAUAUAAUGAAUAUAUUUUUAUUUUAUUAUUUGUAAAUUUUAAAAAUCUUGAAGUACUUACUAAGUUUUCACAGGCUUACCGUGUUAAUUUUCUAACGUGUAGGUACAGUAGAUCCCGUCAGGCUAAUAUUGUAGCAGCCCGUUUUUCAGUGGUGUCGGAAACAGUGGUUUUGGGGCCACCAAAUUCGACAAGUAAGUUUUUAAAUAUUGUUAUUUAAUAUUUACGAGUCAAAUAUAGUUUUAAAAAAGUUUUCGAUUUAAUAAUUUAUGUUAUAUAAGCGAUUUAUUAAGUUCAAGUGGUAAGACCCUAAGGUCAAGUGGUUUUAGAAAAUGAGGUAUCGAGACCUCGUUUCAUAAUCUGAGCCGUAAAUAUUUUUAUAAAUAUUUACGGAGUGUCAUUAAGGUUGUAUUAAAGUUUCGGUGAAAAUUUUUAACGUUUCGAUAGUUAAUUAAGUAAAAAGUGUAAAAUGUGAUCACUAUUUAAUUAGAGUGAUUAAAUGGUUUAUUAAAUAAAGGUAAGUGGACUUGAAUGGUAAAUAUACCAUUUUAAAAGGUGUUGGACGGUUAGUGGGGUUAUUUAGUUAAAAAAUUAUGUUUAUUAAUUUAUAAAAACAUUAUAUUAUGUUAUAAUGUUAAUAAAAUAAGAAAAAGAAAUUAAAAGAUGAUUCAUUCAUCUUCUUCACCAUUGUUAGUCAAAACAAAAAAGGGGAGAAGCUCCAAGCUUCGGCCAAGUUUCAAUGGGUGCAUAUUAAGAUCGAGUGGAAAUUUGAGGAGAAUGGAAAAGUACCAAAAUGCCCAUGUACUUUGUCAUUUCUACAAUUUAGCCAGGUAAGUUUAUUCUGUUUAAUUUUAAUUUAUAUUUAAGUGAAACUGUAACACCCCCUUACCCGUGUCAGACGCCCGGACCGAGUACAAGGCAUUACGGAACUUUAACAAAGUUAAUUUUUUCAUAUUUUAUUUUAAAGUCCCUUUUUGCAUUUAAACAUUUACAUACUUGCAUUAAAAUUUAUCAACACAACAUUGAAAUUUCAUACACGUAGAAUUUAAUCCAUAUUAGUCCAUAUUGAUGACUUAUACAAAAUAAACUAUUAUAUAGUAUAUACAGAACAAUUUAUGACACAUAACAAAAUGACCAAGUCCUCUAUACAUGUCAUAAUUCCAAAAUAAUAUUUUUGACUAAAAUACCCAAAAGGAAGUUGAUAGUGUGACUGGAUCUCUGACAACCUCUGAUUUCCGAGCUAGCUUGGUAACACUAUAAAACAAGGGAAAAGAGAAAGGGAUAAGCAUAUAGCUUAGUAAGUAAGCAUGUAAUUAAUAAACAAGUUUCUAGCAUAUUUCCAUAGAUAAUAUAAUCAUAAUCACACAUAAAUUCAUUCUUUAUUCAAGUUCCAGCAAGCUGUUUAUUCGCGUCAUAGUCACUAAAUUAUUUUUAUCUAGAGCUACAGAACUCCAAAUUAAGAUCCGUAAAUUUUUCUUGAAAUUAAACUCACAUAUCUUCUUACCAUAAAAUUUUCAGAAUUUUUGGUUUAUCCAAUUAGUACAAUUUAUUCUUUAAAGUUUCCCCUAUUUCACUGCUUGAUAGCUCUGACUUCAUUUCACUAAAAAUUAAUUAUCUAUUUGUACAUAAUUCAAAUGAUGUUCCUGUUUGUUUUUCUUUAAAAUAGACUCAUUGAUAAAUUUAAGCAUGUAGAUUACAAACCAUAAUUAUUUUUGUACAAUUUUUGGUGAUUUUCCAAAGUCAGAACAGGGGAUUUCAAAAUCACUCUGACCUUGUCUCACUAAAAUUCCAAUAUCUCAGAAUAUAUAACUAUUGUCUAUUCUUUCUCUUUUAUAUGAAAAUAGACUCAUUAAGCUUUAAUUCCAUAUCUCAUUCAACCACUAACUCAAUUCCUAUAAUUUUUGGUGAUUUUUCAAACUAACGUCACUGUCAUUGCCCAAAUCUGUUCUAUUUCAAUUUCACUCAUUCAUAUAACACUAUAACAAUUUAUUCAACAUUCAAUAACAAUUUAAUUUGUAGGCACAAUACGAGACUUUAUCACUCCAGUUACUCCUUUGCAAUUUAUCACAUUUCAAUCACAUUUUCAUACUUGUUUGCAAUUACUCAUAUCCCGUUGAACAUGUCGAAAUAAUAACGAAUAUUCAGUGGUUUGCACAUAGUACCACCCACGUGACCAUUGUCAUCCGAUACAUGUAGUAGCCUACACAUAGUACUACACACGUGAUCAAGCUUUCCGGUUCACGUAGUAACUUGCACAUAGUACUACACACGUGACCAAGGCCAUCUGGUACACAUAGUAGCCUGCAUAUAGUACUACACAUGUGACCAUUAUCUAUCGAUACACGUAGUAGCCUGCACUUUGUACUACAUACGUGCUCAUAGGUACUUCAUUCAAGCAUUUCCUAUUCCGACGGUCCAACAGGGAUUCUCACUUUUUAAUAUUUUAUAAUUUAUUCGAAAUCAAAUCACAAUUUCCAAUAUUUCAGUCCAAUACCAUAACAAAUUUAAUAAUUCGAUUUGAACUACUUCAAAAUUUACUCGACAAUCAUAUAUCCCCAAUUCAAGUUAAUUUUGUUCAAUUCAACUAUCAAUACUAAAUUUCUAAUUGUUAAAUAACUAUUUCAUAUUAAACCAUUUCUCAUAUAUUAUAACAAAAUAUUAAAAAUAAUUAUAAACGAUGUAUUAUUUACAUACAACUUACCUCGAUGCAAAAUGUAGUGAUUUUGCAAUUUAAUCCGAAAUCUUUUCCUUUCCCCGGUUGAGAUUGAUUCCAUGUUCUUCUUGAUCUAUAAUAUCAAAUUUAGCUUGUUUAAUAUUCACAUUUAUCCAAAAAAGCCCUCGACUCAAUUUUGGAAAAAUUACAAUUUUACCCCUAAACUUUUGCAUAUUUUCACUUUUGUCCCAAAGCUCGGAAAUUAAACUUCAUCCCUUAUUAUUAUGUUUUAUGACAUGCUAAACAUUUUUCCCUUCUAUGGUAACAUCAAAUUCCCACUCUAACACUUACUUGUGAACAUUAGGUAUUUUUACCGAUUAUGUUGUUUUAUUCGGUUUCACUUAAAAUCGACUAGUAAAAGUUGUUUAACAUAAUUUCAAACUUCAUAUUCUACCAUAAAACAUCAAAAUAAACACAUUUCACCUAUGGGUAUUUUUCCAAAUAUGAACCCUAACAUGAAUUAAUAGUAGAAUAAGCUAAACCGAGCCUUAGCUUGAAACAUUAAAAACAGGGCGUGGAUACACUUACUAUGAGGCUUGGAAGCUUGAAAACCCUAACUAUGGCUUCCCCCUUGUAAAAUUUAGCCUUAGAUUGAAGAGGGACAAAAUUUGGCUUUUAGUUUUGUUUUUAAUUCUUUUUAAUAACUAAUGACCAAAAUGCCCUUAAUGAAAAUAUUUGGAAACAUCUCUAACCAUGUCCAUUUUUGUCUACCAGCUUAACCAAUGGUCUAAUUACCAUAUAAGGACCUCCAAUUUAAAAUUUCAUAACAAUUGGACAUCUCUAACAUAUAGAACUCAAAUUUUGCACUUUUUAGAAUUUAGUCCUUUUGACUAAAUUGAGUGCCCAAAUUUCAAAAUUUUUGAACGAAAUUUUCAAAAAAAAUUUCCAUGAAAUUGUAGACUAUAAAAAUAUAAUGAUAAUAAAAUUUUUCCUCGUCAGAUUUGUGGUCCUGAAACCACUGUUCCGACUAGGCCUUAAAUCGGGCUGUUACAAAAAUAUAUGAACCUAAUUGCAUAAUAUUGGAUUAUAUUGAUGUGUGUAAUUGAAAAUUAAAAUAAUGAAUUGAUAUUACGUUGAUCAUUAAUUGAGAAACUCAGAGCCAUUACUGCAAAUUAGUUUUGUAUGUUUAUUAAUAGAAACUCAAUUAUAUUUCUAAAUGUUUAUGAAUAUUAAAGUUUAAAUGAUGUAAAAUUACUGAUAUUAAAUUGAUUUGUUAAUAGAACUGGAAUUGUAAAAAGUUACUAAAAUGAUAAUUUCUGAUAUUAAUGGAGACAGGUUGCAUUCACCCGUAAGACCAUAGCGAGGCUAUGACAAUUAUUAAAACGUAAGACUAUGGUUGGACCAUGACAGUGUUUAUAUGUAAGACCAUAACUAGACUAUGGCAUUCUGAUGAUAUGACCAUAGCUGGGUUAUAACACUAUGGACGUAAGACCAUGGUUAGACCACGACAGUGUUUAUAUGUAAGACCAUAGUUGGGCUAUGGCAUUCUGAUGACAAGACCAUAACUGAGUUAUGGCACCAUGGACGUAAGACCAUGGUUGGACCAUGGCAGUGUUUAUAUGUAAGACCAUAGCUGGGCUAUGACAUUCUGAUGAUAAGACCACAAUUGGGUUAUAGCACUACGACUGUAAGACUAUGGCAGGGCAAUGGUAAUUCAUAUGUAAGACCAUAGUUGGACUAUGGUACAAAGGAAACGUGUACCAGGAUUUCAAUCGUCUUCACAGUAUUCAUUGAUUAUAGAAAAGGGAUGAUUUCGACCAUCGUUUAUGUAACAGCCCGAUUUUAGGCCUAGUCAAAACAGUGGUUUCGGGACCACAAAUUUGACGAGAAAAAAAUUAUUUUUUAAUAUAUUUUUAUGGUCUAAAACUUCAUGGAGUGAUUUCAUAAAAAAAUCGUUCAAAAAUUUUGACGUUUGGGCACUUAAUUUAGCCAAAAGGACUAAAUUGUAAAAAGUGAAAAAGUCAAGUUCUACAUGUUAGAAGUGUCCAAUUGUUAUGAAAUUUUAAAUUGGAGGUUCUUAAAUGGUAAUUAGACCAUUGGUUAACUUUUUGGACAAAAAUGGACAAAAGAUAAGUGAAAUAGGAUAUUUUUAAGUUGGGGGCAUUUUGGUCAUUUAGUAAUUAAAAGAAUUAAGAAGGCCAAAAUAGCAAAAAAUUUGUCCAUCUUCUCCAUGAUGAACGAAAAUAGCAAGGGGGAAGCCAUGGUUAGGGUUUUCAAGCUUCCAAGCUCCAUAGUAAGUGAUUCCAAGCCCCGUUUUUAAUGUUCUGUACGUUUUUAAAGUCCCUGUAGCUUAAUUUAGCUUAUUCUAGCAAUAAUUUAAUCUAGAGUUUAUAUUUGGAAAAAUACUCAUAGGUUAAAUGUGUUUAUUUUGAUGUUUUAUGGUAGACUAUGAAGCUUGAAAUUGUGUUAAACAAUUUUUGCUAAGCGAUUUUCAGUGAAAACAAGUGAAACGGCACAAUCGGUAAAAAUUAUUAUUGUUCAUAAAUGCAUGUUAGAGUAAGAAUUUGAUGUUGCCAUAGAAGGGAAAAAUGUUCAGCAUGUCAUAAAAUAUAAGAAAAAGGAAUAAAGUUUAAUUUCCGAGCCUAGGGGCAAAAUCAUAAUUUUGUGAAACUUUAGGGGCAAAAAUGUAAUUUUUCCUAAAUAUAAUUUUUGGACUGGAUUGAAUAAUGUGAAUGUUAUAUAAGCUAAAUAUGUUAUUAUAGAUCAAGAAAGAAGUGGAAUCGACAUUGAUCAGAAAAAAAUUGAAGAUUAAAUUUCUAAGUUUCUAUAUUGUUGCACUAAAGUAAGUUUUUAAGUAAAUAAUGCAUCAAUUUUUAUUUAUGAUUUUAUGUUCUGAUAUAUUUUAUGAUAUGUGGACGAAAGAUAUAUUUUAUGAUAUAUGUGAUUGAAUAUCGAAUAAAAUUUACAAAAUAAUAAAGUGUGAGAAAAUUUCUCGGUUGAACCUUAGGAAUAGAAUGAGAUACAAGUGACUUGUCAUUAGAGAUCUAUGUGAAAUUGUGAAUAAAGUGGAUUCAGGCGCUGAUCAUAAAUUCUACCAGUGGCUGGGUAUACCGGCAUAUGUUGCGGAUACCUAACAGCUUGUGUGAGCAUCACUGAGUAGUAACGAAUGACUGACAGCUUGUGUGACCAGGCCCGUGACGCGAAACUGUGAUUAAUGUGAACUCGGGUGCUGGUCUUAUGUUCUUCCAGUGGCUGGGUAUACCGGCAUAUGUUGCGGAUACCUGACAGCUUGUGUGAGCAGCACUGAGUAGUAACAAAAGACUAACAGCUUGUGUGAGCAAACCCGUGAAAGUGAAUAGCUCGAGAACGAGCUUUUAUGUAAAAAAUUAUGUGAAGUAGCUUUUGCUAUAAGAGUGGCACUUAUGUGCAAAUUUCUGACGUAUCCAAUAAUAUUCCUAAGUGUUCAACCGGAAAAUGAUUAAGUGCAAAUGAAUAUGAAUAUGUGGUGGGCAAUGUGCGCGAUAUGUGGUCAAACUUGAGUGAAGUUGAUAUGGAACAAGUGUUACAAUGAAAAUUUGUAAAUAAUUGAUGAUGAAUAGCUAUCGGCAUGGCUAAUUAUGAAUAUACUUUAGUGUUAUGUGAGUGUGAGUGAGAAUUAAUGCAAAGAAAACAUGAUUGAAUAAAAUUAGCAAUAAAAAGUGUAUGGAUAGCAUGCAAUGGUAUCACUUUGGAAAAUCACCAAAAAUAGUGUAAAGUUAAUUAAAUGUUUAAAAAAAAUAUGAAAUUCAAGCUUAUUGAGUCUAUUUUCACAUGGAAGAAAUAGAGUAAGUAAAAGAGUUAUAAAUUUUGAGAUAUUUAAAUUUUAGUAAGACAGUGUCAGAUUGAUUUCGGAAUCCCCUGUUCUGACUUUGAAAAAUAAUUAAAAAUUGUAAAAAAAUAAUUAUGAGUUAUAUUUUAUAUUCUUAGAAUCCUUAAUGAGUCUAUUUUCAAGGGAAACAAACGGAAAUAUCAUCCGAAAUCUGUACAAUGAGAUAAUUCAUUUUUAGUGAAGAGAGGUCAGAGAUGUUGAGCAGUGAAAUAUGGGUGAAUUUAAAGAAUAAAAUGUACUAAUUUGCCAGGCCAAAAAUUAUGAAAAUUUUAUGGUAAGAAUAUAUGUGAGUCUAGUUUCAGGGAAAAUUAACGGAUCUUAAUUUGGAGCUUUGUAUCUCUAGAUAAAAAUGAUUUAGUGACUCUGACUUAAAUAGACAGUUUUGAAUUUAAAUAUAAGUGAAUAGUAAAAUUACGUAUAAUGCUAUUCCAGCAUGUUAUAUACAUAAAGGAUGUGGAAUGGAGAGGGGGAGGAGGAGAAUAAAGUGUAUGAAUGAAUUGUGUAUAAUUGGUUAUAUGUUUUAUUAUCAUCGAUAAACGUUGAAAUAGGAGUGAUGCUUAUAUUGGUACAUUACUAGUCAUGGUAAACUCAUGAGAGAAAAUAAAGUUUCAUAGCAUAUGUGUGUGGUAUAUUUGGCAUGAAGUGAUGUCAUGAGUGGUUCAUGAAUUAACUUAUGUUGGAAAGUUGAUGCAUAAUUAUAGUAUUCAAAUAUAUACAUAUUUGUAAUAUUUUGCUAUGUGAUUCGGAAAAAGGGUAAUAAAUAGCAUAAUGAAAAUUCGGUCAUGGUGUUAGUUUAUGUUAAGGGAGUGUUUUAUGGCAUAUAUUAAGUAAUGGAAUGUUAUAAAUUUUGAGGUUAAUUUUCUAGUCAAAUAAAUGACAAAUGAAUUGAUUGCGUAUUCGUAAUUUUGACAUAUGCUUGGUGUAUGAAACAUAAAAAUAUAUGCUUGAAUAAACUUUAAGUAUUCGAAUGACAUGGAUUUGAUGGUGAUAAGAAUCGAAUAUUGAAUUCAUGAAGCACAGGUGAUGUAUUAUUGUUGUGUGAUAGCUUGGUUCGAGAAAUUGAUUAGGUAAAUGGUAAGUGGAAGCAUUUAUGGAUUUAGAAGAAAAUUUGGAAUGAACAUGAAAUUUAGCUCAAUUAAAUGAUUUCAUCAAUUAAACAUUGUGUACACCGGAAUGUGUUAGUGAAUUACAUAUUUGUAAAUUAACAUUCGAAGUUCGGUAAGUGAUAUAUGAAAUUAACAUGAAAAGAUUUAUGAUUGUUAUUAAUAUUGAUUCUGACAUAAAGUGGAUUCUUCAAUAAUAUUGAGCAUAUGAAUGGUAUGUAUUGAGCCUCGUAUACCCUAAUUAGCGACUCGAAGAUAAUAAUUUGAAAGUUUUUAAUUUAGAUGAAAUUUUAUAACUCGGUUUAAUAUGUCUAUAAGUGUAUUUAUUCUGGUAAUGCAUUGUACCCUAUUCCAGCGUUGAAUACGAGUAAGAGGUGUUACAAUGUGAUAUCACCAAAUUCGGCCCUAAUGUUUAGGUUGGGUUUGGGGUGUUACAGUUUAACACACUUUGUAUGAGCUCCGGUAAGGGUUCCGAUUGACUUCACUAUGACAAAUAUGGAAAGGUAUGAUGUACCAAUGAUUAAAGUAUGAAUAUUCAUGAAUAUGAAAGGUAUGGUUUAAGAAAUGCUAUGUUUAUGUACUAUACCUUACCAUGUGAUGAUAUCGCUAAGUUAUGUGUUUAAUCAUUAGCUUGUGAAUGUGGUAAGCGUAACACCCCUAACCCUUAUCCCUCGCCGUAACAAUGUUACAGAGCAUUACCGGACCUUAUGGAUUAAAUACAAAUAUUUCACAACUUUUAUUAUACAUAUCAAGAAUCAAUUAUAAAACACUCAUAUUGUCCCUUAGAUAGACCCUCGAGGCCUAAUAUACACCUUAGAAGUGAAUCGGGACUAAACCGGGUAUUCAGGGAAUUUUUUCCAAAAUCUCAAAAAUUUUCUUAUAAGUAGGGGACACACUCCCGUUUGGCUGGCCGUGUGGGCAUUCGAUAUGAGGCACACAGCCGUGUCCCAACCCGUGCCUUUACCCUUGUGCUAGGCCGUGUGUAAAAACUUGGGCAUUUUGUUUUGAAAUUUUAAGGUGCAGGGGACACACGGCCAAACCACACGCCCAUGUGUCAGGCCGUGUGUAACACCCCUAACCUUUAUCCGUCACCGAAACAGGGUUACAGAGCAUUACCAGACCUUACGGAUUAAAUACAAACAUUUUAUAACUUUUGUUAUACAUAUCAAGAAUCAGUUAUAAAACACUCAUAUUGUCCCUUAGAUGGACCCUCGAUGCCCAAUAUACACCUUAGAAGUGAAUUGGAACCAAACCGGGUACUCAAGGAAAUUUUCCCAAAAUCUCAAAAAUUUUCUUAGAAGCAGGGGACACACGCCCGUGUCUCUUCUAGUGCGGACGAAAAUAGGUCAUUUUAAGGCCACUUUUCUCACCCUUUUUGAUAUCAACCUAUACACAACAUUUUAAUACAUCAAGUAACCCCAAUCAAACAAUUAACACAAGCCAAAAAUCAUGUUUUAAACAUAAUAUAUCAUCACAAAACUCAAUUGCCUAAACUUACCAAAAUAACUCCAUUUAUUGAUUUACCAAAAUCUACUACUAAAUAAAUGCAUACUAACAUAUAUAUAUAUAUGUCAUUCACAACCAUACUUCAAAUUUAGCUCUUUUCCAAUCUAGCCCUAUACGUGCCAUAUAAACCAUAAAAUGUAUAACAAAAUCUACCGAAACAACUGGAUAGUGUGGCUCGAUAUGUUGAUCCGAUCCUCCGAACUUUUUAAAAAUCUACAAAGAACAUUAAACGACACAAGUAAGCUUAAUGAAGCUUAGUAAGUUCGUUGGCUUUAAAAUAUAAAUCUUACCGAAUAUACUAUAAUAAUUCAUUUAGGUAAAUCAUUUCACAAACAUUUCCUGCCAAUCACAACUUCGAUUGAUGAAUUCACUUAUUUGAGCUCAAUAUCAAUAAUAACUUAAAUUCUUCCACGUUAAUUCCAUUUGGCACUUACCAAUCAUUGUCAAAUCAGAGAAAGUCUUACGAAUUUGAGUACAUCGUAAACAGAAACCCGAAGGCUGCAUGGAAGCACAUAAGUGCUAAAUGGAAACCUAUAAGGGUUAAACGGAAGCUCAUAGGAGCUGAACGGAAACCCAUAAUGGUUAAUCUGAAACUCAGAAGAGCUAAACUAAAACCCAUUAGGGUUAAAUUGAAACUCAUAUGAGUUGACUGAAGCUCAUGAGAGCUAAAUGGAAAGCAAACACGGAAGUUCGCAACAAAUGCUGAACCCCGGUUUACUUGGGUAAUUUACUUUUAAUUCCUCUUUCACAUUGAACGACUGUACUCAAUCCCACGUUUCUUUCUUUCCUAACAUUCAAUUUAAUUUCACAACUUUAACAAUAAUUUUAUUUUCACAAAUGAUAUAAAUAAAUACACAUUACUAUACAUCAAUUUAAUUUAUAAGAUUAAAAUUUAACCAUGCGAACUUACCUGGGUUAAAUUAUAAGUUUGUAGUGGUUAGGGACUAUUCUGCUAAUUUCUCUUUUUCUCAUUGAUCUACAGGCUCUUGAUAUGUAGCAAAAUAUGAAAACCAGCUUCUUAAGGGUUCUUCAAUGGUGUUUUUGGCUGAGAAUUAUGAAGAAAUGUCUAGAUAUUCAAUUAAAUCAUAUUUUUAACUAUUAAGUUUUAUUUCAUUUCCAAUUUUACCCCUUGUUCACACUAAUUUCAUGAUUUUUCUACACUCAUGCCGUCCAACCUCUUAUUUUAGGCUUAUUUACCCUUUAAGUCCUUCCUCAUUUAACAUUUAGGCUAUUUUAUCACUCUGGCAAGUUUUACACCUUUUCAAUUUAGUCCUUUUUAACUAAUUAACUAUCAAAACGUUAAAAUUUUCUAACGAAAUUUUAAUACUAACUUAAAUACACUCCAUAAAUAUUUAUGGCCCGGUUUAUGAAAUUGAGUUCUCGAUACCUCGUUUUUGAAACUACUUAACCUAAUAAAUUCUUUUAAAACACAAAUCACUAAUUAAAAAAUCUUUCUAAAAUCACACUUAACUCAUAAAUAAUAAAUAAUAAAAUUUUUGAACUUACUCAUCGAAUUUAGUGGUCUUGAACCAUUAUUUCUGACACUACUAAAAAUUGGGUUGUUACUUACUAGUGGUCUCGAACCACUGUUUUUGGCAUCACUGAAAAUUAGACUGUUACAGUAAGUGUUUAAUAUGAACCAAGACAUGCGUGUAUGAAAUUUAUUGAAAUGGUGAUACAUGGAAAACAUGAUAUGUUAUGAAGGAUGAUAAAUCCAAUUAGAUCAUUCUCAAGUAUAAUGGUUAUUUAUGUUAAGUUCACAUGGAUUAUAUUCAAUUAUGCUAACAUGUGUUGUUGGUGGUGCUUAGGCUUGUGCCAAGUUGGUGAUUGAAUUAUAUCAUGUUUAAUCUUAAUGAAAUACAUUCAAAUUGUAAGUGUUCAAUUGGUAAUGUGCUUAUGUCCAUGAAAAGGUGGAAUAAAUUCAAGUAUGUAAUUUAUUAUGCAAUGGUUGAUUAUGUGGUUGAUUUUAAAAUAGCUAUGUUUAUAUGCAUUAGCUUGUAGUCAUGGUUGAUGUUAUGCUUAUAACUUAUGUGUUAUGAAUUGAAAUGGGUGAAGAAAGGUAAUGAAAUGGUAAAUUCAUAGUUGAAAUGAAAUUUGAGGAAAAAGAAAGUGAUGAGUUUGAAUGAUGUAUUAUAUGUGGAAACUGGCGAUGCUAUGGAUGAAUAUACUUAUAACAUAGAUAAAUACACUAAGUCGGGAAUUGAUAAUAUUGUUUAGGCUUAUGAUAAGCAUUGGGAACAAAAUGAAAAAAGAGUAAAUUGAAAAAUUAUUAUCUUAUAAAAAGGUUGAUGAUUAUCUAUUAAGUCUCAUAAAAUCCUAUCAUCGAUUUAUGAAUCUUAUGGCAUUGAUAUAGAUUUAUGUUUAUUCUAUAAUUUUUAUUAUUGAAAUGGAAUAUUAUGCUUAAAGUUUAUAUGAACUUACUAAGCAUUCAUUGCUUACGUAGUUAUUUUCCUUUUCUUUACAGAUUAUCGGAAGCUCAAUCGAGUUGGAAGCUAGUCGGAGAUCCAUCACACUAUCCUUCGGCUAUAUUGGUAGAUUUUCAUGAUUUUGAGUCAUGGUUAUAAUGGCUUGUAUAUGUGUCUUUGUUUGAUGAAAUUAGCCAUUAUGUUUAGCUUGUAAAUAUGCUAUUUUAAGUGAAGAAAUAGUUGUUAUGUUGACAUGUAUGUAUGGUACUUUAAUGGUUGUUAGUUUGGUAUUUAAGUUCUUAAAUGAUGGUAGUUGAAAUGAUGAAUAUAAAUGUAUGCUAUGAAAUGUUGGUUUGGUAUGGAAUGAUAUAGUGCAUUGAGUUGUUA